rnacentral:rRNA from 1 species
GACGAACGCUGGCGGCGUGCCUAAUACAUGCAAGUAGAACGCUGAAGGAGGAGCUUGCUUCUCUGGAUGAGUUGCGAACGGGUGAGUAACGCGUAGGUAACCUACCUGGUAGCGGGGGAUAACUAUUGGAAACGAUAGCUAAUACCGUUAACAGUAGAUGUUGCAUGACAUUUGCUUAAAAGGUGCAAUUGCAUCACUACCAGAUGGACCUGCGUUGUAUUAGCUAGUUGGUGGGGUAACGGCUCACCAAGGCGACGAUACAUAGCCGACCUGAGAGGGUGAUCGGCCACACUGGGACUGAGACACGGCCCAGACUCCUACGGGAGGCAGCAGUAGGGAAUCUUCGGCAAUGGACGAAAGUCUGACCGAGCAACGCCGCGUGAGUGAAGAAGGUUUUCGGAUCGUAAAGCUCUGUUGUAAGAGAAGAACGAGUGUGAGAU